rnacentral:tRNA from 1 species
UAUAGCUUAAAUAUAACAAAGUGUUACUUUGAAGCAGUAAUGAUGGGUAUUAACUUAGUUAUAA